CGUCUUACCUGACAGGGGUGAUACCAUGAUCAAGAAGGUGGUUCGCCCAAGGUGAGGCUCAGCCGUUGGACUCUGGCUGUCCUGACCCGUGCGAAUUCCCCAAAUGUGGGAAGCUGGAGAGCAUAAUUUCUGACAGUGGGGGACUGUGUUUGUGAUCUCCUUUG